UAAUUUUGCACAUAUAGAUUUCAUGCUCAAAUACCAAUCAAUUUGUUACUUUAAUUUUAAGAAUAUUUCAAUUUACUCAACUUUUUAUAUCAAAAAUUCAAUCAUUAACACAACUCCUCGUGGGAUCGAUAUUUUUCUAUACUACUUGUACGACCCGUGCACUUGCGGUUGGGCCACAUCAAUGAUCAAUCACAGCAAGCAAGGAAAUGAACCUAGCAGAAGAAGCUGCCAAAGCGGCGUCUGGUGACAUUAACAACUACGGGGUGGUUUUGUUUCUUUUGCAGUAUAUCACUUUGUUUUGGCACCUUGACAAGCAGAAGGCCAUUGCUAAAGGAAGUAGUGGUCAAUCUCCACAUUCACAUUGUAUGGCAAUUGACAGCUCUUUUUGCAAUUUGGACGACUACCACCAGUAAUCAGCAAGACAUUUCUGCCUCUGAUCUCAACCUUCACGUCUUCAGUCUUCAGUCCCUGCAGGUUUGCCGUGACAACGAAGGUUGUUUCUUGCCAAUACAUCUGAAAAAAAAGUGAAACCAACCCCAUUAAAAAUAAUGCUAAUUAAAAGAAUGCAUCAUUAGUUAUUAGAUUAUCGUCACAAACUGUGAUGGAGAAGGGAUCACUGAAGCCAAACAGAUUGCUGAAACUGCUUGAAUUGAGAUUAUUGCUUGCAUUCAAACAGCUGCUUUCGCCAAAACCACUUGGAAUCAUCGACAUUCCUGAAAGAGAUUGAACACAAAACUUUGAUCAAAACCCCUUUAGUUAUUAAUAGACAUUAAGAGAAAGGAGAGAAACAGAGAAUACACUUGAAUCUGCUGAUCAGGUAUUGCGCCGCUCUCUUUGAUUUGCCAGGUAAGUGCACAGUUGAACAUUAUUUAUAGUGGACGCUUAUGAUCAUUAAAUUAAUUAAUCUUGUUUAAAAUAUGAUGAUAAAUGCUUUAUUAAGAAAAUUAUGAAGAGGGGAAGAAACAAAUAAUUUCUAUAAAAUGCAUGGCCUUCUAUAGAAACAAGAUUGAAAUUGGACCCGAGAAUGGCACAUGCGUGCAUCUAUCGCUAGUCUAAACUUUUAAAAUUAUGUUAAUUAGGUUUUGUCUACAAGUUUUUAAUCCUGUUUUAUAUUCAUUUUCUUUAAGAAAAAGACUAAUCCAUAAAUUUUUAAAAUAAAAAAAAAAUUGCAAAUAACAAUUCUGUACGUAACUCUUAUGAUCAACUAUGAAAACACACAUUUUAGAAUCCCAUGAGGAAAAGAGCAUAUAUGGCAAAUAUGAUUAUGGAAUGGAUGAGUGUCAGUCGAAAGCUGAACUGCAUAUCCACAAUACAAAAAAUGGAGCUAGCUAGAACACAUAUCUUCUACUUCUCUAUCAAUUCACGACAAGAAAACAAAAACUAUACUAUGUAAAUUAAUUUCUCUUUUGUAUUUUUCCUUGUGCUUUAAUUUUCAGAAGUAAACAAACCAUCUGAGAGUCUAGUUGAUAGCAGUUGCCAUAAAAGGCAUAUGAUGUGUCUCCGCUCUCCACAGCUGAACUUAACAACCCUUCAUUAAAUAUAAUGAAAGAAAGCAACCUUCAACUUCAAGGGUCAUUUUCCAUCUAGCUUUGGAAGGUCAAAUGUUAAUGGCUGAUGCAUGCACUGCCUUUCGCUGGAAAAACAAAAUCAAGUGUCAUGAAAUGUCUCACGUUAAUCGAUCACAUGAAAGAAUCAAAUCAAAGAAGCAAGAAAUUGUCAGAGAAAUAUGAAAUGUGUUCUUAUUUGAAGAUUUAGAGUGUAUCAGAUGAUAAGGCAAAGGUAUCCUUCUUCUUCAUCCCCAGCCACAAGUUUCACAUCCCUCAACUUGUUGCAGACGAG
rnacentral:misc_RNA from 1 species